CCAUUGACCUCAAAUCAGGUAGGACUACC
rnacentral:rRNA from 1 species